rnacentral:lncRNA from 1 species
GUGACUGUCAGGGCCUGCAAGUUGCCUUUUACUGUAGAACCUCUUGGAACUUGUAAAGCCGGGCAGUCUAUUCAGAAAUGAAUGGCCUUUUCCACAAGAUCAAUGUAAUCUACAUAACAAUGCAUUGCCUUCCUCCAGGAACUUGAAUGACCAUGGAACUCCAAAACUUCAGUCUCUCCUCUUACUAAAGUGUUCCUUCCAAAUGGCUACAUGGCUGAAUUGACUGAUGAUGAGGAGAUUGACAGUUUGUGCUGAGUCCCAGGUGGGAGUAUCGUGAAAUUAGUCCAGCAGGAGCUGAGCAGAGCUUAACUCAUUCAUACAUUGCAGAAGAGAGAGAGGUCCACAGUUCUUUCCAGGAAUGAAUGCCUGAGGGUGGAAAAUUAGGAAGGGAGGAAAAAAAUCCCAGAAUGGAACUAAUCCCCAUCAUGUUAUGCCAGGCAUUCUCUCAUCUGCGAAGGAAAGAUUAUACCUGAGUCUGGGGGACAUGACUUCAACCAUAUCACUCUCCUUCUCUGAAGUCUAAAGUCCUCAACCUGGAAC